rnacentral:lncRNA from 1 species
GCAUUACCACCGACCAGUCCUCAGCCGGCAACAUGAAGCUGGGUGGCCUCUGCCUCCUGCUCCUCCUCGCCGUCCUUCUCACCCUCAAUGCAGAGCUCCAGGCAGUUGAUGUAGGUAUCUGUGUGACGGAGUGCAAGGUAGACCAGGACUGUGGGGCAGGAAGACGAUGCACCAGCAAUGGAUGUGGCCGGGUCUGCUCCCCAGUCCGGCGAAGAGAGGCCUGCGAGCACCAGUGCAGAGAAGACAGGGACUGUGGGAGUGGACAUCAGUGCGUGAGGAAGGGCUGUGGGCACGUCUGCGCCCCCGUCCAUCAAGUCGAUAUAGGUAUCUGUGUGACGGAGUGCAACGUAGACCAGGACUGUGGGGAAGGAAGACAAUGCACCAGCAAUGGGUGUGGCCGUGUCUGCUCCCCAGUCCAGCAAGAAGAGGCCUGCGAGCACCAGUGCAGAGAAGACAGGGACUGUGGGAGUGGACAUCAGUGCGUGAGGAAGGGCUGUGGGCACGUCUGCGCCCCCGUCCAUCAAGUCGAUGUAGGUAUCUGUGUGACGGAGUGCAAGGUAGACCAGGACUGUGGGGAAGGAAGACGAUGCACCAGCAAUGGGUGUGGCCGUGUCUGCUCCCCAGUCCAGCAAAAAGAGGCCUGCGAGCACCAGUGCAGAGAAGACAGGGACUGUGGGAGUGGACAUCAGUGCGUGAGGAAGGGCUGUGGGCACGUCUGCGCCCCCGUCCAGCAAGUCGGUAUCUGUGUGACGGAGUGCAA